CCUACGGGCGGCAGCAGUGAGGAAUAUUGGUCAAUGGACGAGAGUCUGAACCAGCCAAGUAGCGUGAAGGAUGACUGCCCUAUGGGUUGUAAACUUCUUUUAUAUGGGAAUAAAAUGUUCCACGUGUGGGAUUUUGUAUGUACCAUAUGAAUAAGGAUCGGCUAACUCCGUGCCAGCAGCCGCGGUAAUACGGAGGAUCCGAGCGUUAUCCGGAUUUAUUGGGUUUAAAGGGAGCGUAGGUGGAUUGUUAAGUCAGUUGUGAAAGUUUGCGGCUCAACCGUAAAAUUGCAGUUGAAACUGGCAGUCUUGAGUACAGUAGAGGUGGGCGGAAUUCGUGGUGUAGCGGUGAAAUGCUUAGAUAUCACGAAGAACUCCGAGUGCGAAGGCAGUUCACUGGACUGCAACUGACACUGAGGCCCGAAAGUGUGGGUAUCAAACAGGAUUAGAUACCCCUGUAGUC
rnacentral:rRNA from 1 species